GUGGCUAUAGUUCAGUUGGUUAGAACGCUGGUUUGUGGUACCAGAGGUCGCCGGUUCGAAUCCGGUUAGCCACCCCU
rnacentral:tRNA from 1 species